ensembl:lncRNA
CAGACACAAGCUUUGCAAUGUCAACAUUAAUGCAAAUUGAAAGGAGUUUAAUAAGUGUGUCACAGACUCAAAAACCAUUGUAUGAACUUGUUUGAUAUUAGAUUGAAUGUAACAAACAUGCAUUUAUGUGUAAAAUGUCUGUAGCCUUAAGUCGCUCUACACUGUAUAUAUACGUGCAACAGAUAAAAAAUCUUUUUCUGUUUCCUCCCUAUCUUUUCAGUGGUUGCCAGUGACCGCUCUACUCCUUUUGAGUCAGCUGAGGAGGUUCUCCCAGUGACCCAAUCUAACAGCUCUCAACACUUAUUUGGUAUUUACCUUACUGUAAUUAAGUAAUUUAGCAAAAAGCAUGAAAACGAUGUUCAUUUCAUUUUCCCUUUCUUUCAGACUGUGAGAUGCAGAAACUGCAGGACAUUCUGACCUCAGCAGAUGUUCCAGGUAGAAAUGAGCAGCCUUCUACGUCCACAUCGUGGUGCUUGCGCCAAUCUGCAGCCCAAGAUGAGUGGCGGAAAGCAAGGCGCCAUCACCCCAACUGUUUGCUGUCCUGCAACAGUGUUCCAGAGAGGAACUGCAGCCACUGCACAUCUCCUGCCAUUAUUCGCUGCAGAGACUGCAUGCCGGAGGAGUGGCUCUGUAUGGAUUGUGACAUACAUAUACACACCAAACUCACACUACCAUAACAGGGAGUCCUGCAUUGAGGGAGUUUACAAGCCCAUUGAGCCAACGCUGUGCUGUGCAAAAGAAGAUGGCAGAUAUACACUGGUCAAGCAAGUACGUCUAUUGCCUACAGUGAGACCUGUCCAAUUAUGCACAUGUGACCCUACAAACAUCACAGAAUCAGCUGGCAGAGCAGUAAUUUUGGUUUGCAUAAAUGGUAUGAAAUAUGGCUUUAUAUAUAUAUUUUUUUUUGUACAGCUGCGUGUCACAAAAAAAACAUAUAUUUAAUUUACCAUACUUUUUUUGUUUCUAGGUCGAUAUGACUUUCAUUUGCGGUGGUGAAAAAAAUCGAUUAUUGAUUAAUCGCGAUUAUAAUAUUGACGAUUAUGAUUCGAUUAUUAAAUUUCCAAAAAUCGAUUUAAAAAAAAAAAAAAAAAAUUUUUUUUUUUUUUUUUUUUUUGAAAUAGUAAUACAAACUGGAGUCCUCCUCUUACUGGCUUCCGCUACAUGGUCCACAGUCUGGAGCCAAGAUAUGUUAUUCCAUCCCGGAGCUUUUUCACACUUAAAUUGAUUCCAAAUCUUUACAAGGAGACAAAGCUUUCCAUGCAAGUGUCCCUCAACUCUGCUCACAGGGUAGCAAUAACCUGCGAUGCCUGGACAUCCAAAACUACAGUCUCAAAAGUGACCAUUACACAGGGGCGGUUCUUGGGGGGGGGGGGGGCAACAGGGGCCAGUGCCCCCGUAACUCUGAGUCUGGACCCCCCUCUGGCCCCCCCAACAGGGAGUCUGCAUCAAUAAUACAAUGACAGAUUUCUUGUAAAGAUUUUGUUUUGAAGGGAAAGGCAGAAAUAAAGUGUCUCAGCAGUUUACUACCCAAUCAAAAUUGCUGAAAUUGUAAACACUGUUUUGUCUGAAUGAGGGAUUUAUCUUUUUUCCGGGUUGUAUGUGCCCCCUAACAAAAAAGGCGGCCCCAACCUGGCUCCCCUAUUAAAACUGGUCUAGAACCGCCACUGCCAUUACAGCUCAUUAUGUCAGCAGUUAAUGGAAGCUAAUGUCCUACGUACUUCAGGCGAAAGCUAUGGAUGAUAGCCACACAAGCGCAAAUAUGUGUGAGUUUCUCAAAGCAAUGGCAGAGGAGUGGGGAACAGAGAAACACGCCCUGGUUCUCAUCACCAACAAUGCUUCUAACAUGAGUCCGGCUGCUGAGCUUGGCAGCUUUCUUUUAACAGUGAAACACCACAUUUAAAACAAAUUAAAAAAUAAUAAUUUAAUAAUAAUAAUUUAUUACAGUUACACUAUACAAUAUUGAAGGUGCUGUGAGGUGUUACUCAAAAGAGAAGUAAAGUAAUUCAGCAGCUGACUGAUGUUAAAUGGAAGAUCAAUAAUCGUUAAUAAUCGAAAAUCGAUUUGUAAUCGAAUGGAGACUUCAAUAAUCGGAAUCGAAUCGAAUCGGGAAAUUGGGCCGAUUAACCACCCCUACCUGCUGUGCAAAGUAUGUCUGGCACAGUGGACACCAGACAAAAGCGACCUCAUAAGCAGUGGGUAUUGGCCAGCAUCUGUGAAUGCUGAGAUCUUGUUUUCGGUGGAUGUCUUCAAUUCAUUUGAAGAAAUGAAAACUGUUGCACCCAGUCUGUCAAGACAAGGCUUUUUGCAGAUGUUGGAGAGAAGGACUCGUCACUUUGGAAGGGUAAGAUCAGUGUGGAUCAAAGUAGGGAUAGAAGAAUUUAGCUAUUUUAGCUUUUGAAUUUUACAUUUUAAUAUUCAAUUUGUCCAGUCUGGGAAGAUACAUGGAGACACUUUCCAAAGGAGCUUUCUGGAAUACACAUUUUGCCAUUAUGAGUGUGAGAGAAUGGCCAGUGUAGAGCACUUCACCUGCCCGGCAUGUACCCCCAACAUGCUUGCUCUUUGUGCAGAUGGCAACAGGAAGCAGUACCGUUUUCGACAGUCAAGAGGGUUAGUUGUUAACAUUUUGUAAAACCAAUUGAACAAAUAAUGUCUGACACUAAACUUCAUUAUUUUUCUUAUUCUAUUUAGGUCAGAUGAGCCAUAUUUUGAUGGCACCUUCAUUGCAAAGGACGCUGAUGUCCAUAAUUUUGUUGAGGAGACAAGGAGUAAAAUGAAAAGUGUGAGGAAAAUAUUUAUUGUUUGCACCAUUACUUUGUUUUGGCCAAAAAUAAAAAUGUAUGAUUUUUCCACUGUUAAAUAACUAUUUUAUCCCUCAAGACCAGGUGGUGUCAGCUGAUACAAUGCAGACUAAUAUCUUAGUUUCCAACCAGCGAUUUAAGCAUUAUGAAAUAACUUGUUAGUUUUCACUUCUAACCAGAAUUACUUUGUCAUGCAGACUGCAGGCAGAGGAAUCUGUGGAGCCAGUCAGUGGUCUGCUGCACGUGAGACCGCGAGAAGAGCAAGCAAACUCGAUGAAGAGGGCCUUGAGGUGGUUGUCUGCAGACACGGAGUGCUACUGAAGGCCCUCAACAUGUAUAGGGGGGAAAUAUUUGCCUAUCCAGUUUUCCUGCAGAAGGAGCUUCAGGCAGCCACAAAAGGGCAGUUCUACUGCACAGAUACUGCGUGCAAGUAUUGGCCCUACCUGGAGAAGUUGGCGGUCUCAGUGUUGGAACUCAGACCUCUCCUGCAGAUGAGGCCAUUCCUUUCGGUCAUGCACGCCAAGGCCCAUUCAACCAAGUGUGAGGUACUACAUGUUAUGUAUCUUACCAUUUGAAAUUUUAUUUUUAUUACUUAAAUGAUAUAUAAUACAGUAUAUAUAAUAAUAAUACAUUUCCCAAUGAUUUGUUAGAUAAUCUGGAGUGGGAAAAAUCAGGAGGGUGCUGGCACAACUGCAGGGGAGGAGGUCGAAAUGGUCAAUAGCUACCUCUCUCGUUGUGCCCUCACAACCAAGUACAUGACAAAAUCUGGUAAGUUUUGCUUAUAUGUAUUAUACUUAAAACCCAGUCUUUCAUUCCUUCUGUCAUACUUUGUAUAGGAUUGAAUAAGAGAACGUU